rnacentral:rRNA from 1 species
GUGAAGAAUAAUUAGUGGCAGACGGGUGAGUAAUGCAUAGGAAUCUACCUAGUAGUAUGGGAUAGCCACUAGAAAUGGUGGGUAAUACUGUAUAAUCCCUGCGGGGGAAAGAUUUAUCGCUAUUAGAUGAGCCUAUGUUAGAUUAGCUAGUUGGUAGGGUAAAGGCCUACCAAGGCGAUGAUCUAUAGCUGGUCUGAGAGGAUGAUCAGCCACACUGGAACUGAGAUACGGUCCAGACUCCUACGGGAGGCAGCAGUGGGGAAUAUUGGACAAUGGGCGCAAGCCUGAUCCAGCUAUGCCGCGUGAGUGAGGAAGGCCUUAGGGUUGUAAAACUCUUUCAGUAGGGAAGAUAAUGACGGUACCUACAGAAGAAGUCCCGGCAAACUCCGUGCCAGCAGCCGCGGUAAUACGGAGGGGGCAAGCGUUGUUCGGAAUUAUUGGGCGUAAAGGGCAUGUAGGCGGUUCGGUAAGUUAAAGGUGAAAUGCCAGGGCUUAAC